UGGUGGGUAGUUUGACUGGGGCGGUCUCCUCCUAAAGAGUAACGGAGGAGCACGAAGGUUGGCUAAUCCUGGUCGGACAUCAGGAGGUUAGUGCAAUGGCAUAAGCCAGCUUGACUGCGAGCGUGACGGCGCGAGCAGGUGCGAAAGCAGGUCAUAGUGAUCCGGUGGUUCUGAAUGGAAGGGCCAUCGCUCAACGGAUAAAAGGUACUCCGGGGAUAACAGGCUGAUACCGCCCAAGAGUUCAUAUCGACGGCGGUGUUUGGCACCUCGAUGUCGGCUCAUCACAUCCUGGGGCUGAAGUAGGUCCCAAGGGUAUGGCUGUUCGCCAUUUAAAGUGGUACGCGAGCUGGGUUUAGAACGUCGUGAGACAGUUCGGUCCCUAUCUGCCGUGGGCGCUGGAGAACUGAGGGGGGCUGCUCCUAGUACGAGAGGACCGGAGUGGACGCAUCACUGGUGUUCGGGUUGUCAUGCCAAUGGCACUGCCCGGUAGCUAAAUGCGGAAGAGAUAAGUGCUGAAAGCAUCUAAGCACGAAACUUGCCCCGAGAUGAGUUCUCCCUGAGACUUUAAGUCUCCUGAAGGAACGUUGAA
rnacentral:rRNA from 1 species